GGCUCAGAACGAACGCUGGCGGCAGGCUUAACACAUGCAAGUCGAGCGCCUCGCAAGAGGAGCGGCAGACGGGUGAGUAACGCGUGGGAAUCUACCCAUCUCUACGGAACAACUCCGGGAAACUGGAGCUAAUACCGUAUACGUCCUUCGGGAGAAAGAUUUAUCGGAGAUGGAUGAGCCCGCGUUGGAUUAGCUAGUUGGUGGGGUAAUGGCCUACCAAGGCGACGAUCCAUAGCUGGUCUGAGAGGAUGAUCAGCCACAUUGGGACUGAGACACGGCCCAAACUCCUACGGGAGGCAGCAGUGGGGAAUAUUGGACAAUGGGCGAAAGCCUGAUCCAGCCAUGCCGCGUGAGUGAUGAAGGCCCUAGGGUUGUAAAGCUCUUUCAACGGUGAAGAUAAUGACGGUA
rnacentral:rRNA from 1 species